rnacentral:lncRNA from 1 species
AGAGGAGUCAAAACCUGAAGCAGGGCUAUCGCUGCCACUGCAGAGUGGACCCAGCAUUCUACCUCGACACGAAGACCAGAGCUGAGGAAACCUUGCAGGAGGCAGGAGGGGUCGCCACGAGCCCCCAGUUCUGGUUCUGGCUCUGCCUCUGCCUCAGAAGAGGCUCAGGGUGCUGUAGGUCCUCAUUACCGUGUAAUGUCGAGUCCGAAACGGCUCUGGGCAGAGAGAGAACAGCAUCCACAGGUACAGACCUCGCUGCCGCUCCUGGUGAAUCUCUCAUCUGCCGCCAAAACCAGAGAGGCCUGAUCCUGAGCUCAAGGGAGGCUGAGGAAGCCUCUGGCCAAGUCAGUCAGCCUCCAACUGAGGGGCAGGACACGUAUCUACACAAGGACUUUGCCAGCUCCUUAUCUGGUGUAAGAUGUUUCCACUCUUUGUUGUUGUUUGUUUUUUUGAGACCACACUGGCUUUACACUCACUAUGUAGUCAGACCCAAGGGCUCAAACUCCUGGUGAUCCUCCUGCCUCAGUCUCCUGACUGCUGAGGCUACAGGUGUGUGCCACCACGCCUGGGGCAGAACCACUGUUAUAAGCGAAUCGAGCCAGGAUACUAUAUCAAUGUCUGGGGAAACAUUUGAUCUAGAUGUGUAAGUAAGGCUGCUGGAUACUUCAUUCACUCUCUCACAUCUAAUCAAUUUUAGAUUUUAAUUUUUUAUUAAAGAUAUUUUAAGCCAGGCCUCAUGGCACAUGCCUGUAAUUCUUGAACUCAGGAAGGGAGGCAGGAGAAGCAGUUUGAGGCCAGCUUGGGCUACAAAAACAAUUUUUUAAAAUUCACAAGUAAAUAUUGUAAAUAUAUAUGGUGCACAAUGUGAUGUUCUGAUACGUUGUGGAAUAGCAGAAACAAGUGGUUUAACUCGAUUUUUCCUUUUUUUUUUUUUUUUGGUACCGGGGGUAGAACUCAGGACCUUGGGCUUGUGAGGCAGGCGCCGGAACCACAGAGCUAAAUCCCCAGCCCUCAAUUUUAGAUUUUCGAGUUUUAGUCUGGGACAGCAGGGUGACUGCUCAAGCGAAUUGCAAUGUGCAUUUCGGAUGGUCUAGGAGGGAACAGAAACAUCCCAUGCAAGGCUCAGAGUUCGGCAGCUGGAAGCCCUUCUCAGGCCCACAGUUGACGCAUUGACGUAGUUACGCUGCUGGGGCGGGCCAGGCUGCAAUUAGCGGGAGGGCUUUUGGGAGAUCCCUGGUAUUUCAGAAGUCUUCGCUGAUAGCUCCAUUUACCAUAAAGCUCAAACUAAGUCGAUCCGCAAGGAGCUUUCGCCAAUCCAAAUCCUGGUCCCUCCUAAACAUUGAGGAGGCAGCAGCAGACAAGACAGCCUUUGCCCUUGAAGAAAUUACAUUCCAGCGGCUACAAG